UCCGAUAUGGUGUAGGGGUUAGCAUUGGUCGCUUUCACUGUUCAUGAGAUGUGCCGACUAGACCCGGGUUCGAUUCCCGGUAUCGGAA